UCAAAUAACUACACGGCGCAAUGUACAACUUUAGCUCGGCAACGCUGCCACUGUGAGCGUUCGACUGAUAGAGCAAGCGGGAGCUGUGUUUGAGGUCUGGCAACAAUCGCAUCCCAACAGCUGAGAGCAUGGCGCAUGGCUGAGAACCAAGAUAAUUUGCGCCGGCAUUUGUCCGCUGCUCUUUUUUUUCCUAGUGUUUUAUUGGUGACUGACGUUGCGGUGAUAAUCGCGGUUAUGAUGGGUGAUUUUGUCCUUGUGCGUAUGGUGACCGAGCCUGAAUGACUUCUGAGGCCAUAGAUGGAACGGCCGAUGGGCAGCUUUGUUUACCUUCAAGACCGAGUGGUGCUGUGAGUUUGCUGAAAGCAACAACAGGACAGAAAAUAUGGGAUGUGGGCCUUGGAAGGACCAGCUGAUGAAAAAAUCAACGCCUGUGCUGCACACAUUGUCAUUGUGACAGUCUGCAUCACCAUUUGGCCUAUUUUGGGAUCCCACAAGACACGCUGCUACCCUGGGUGUUGUACCUCGGUCAAUUGCUGAAGUUCUGCAAGCCCCAUUGAAGCCAACUGUCAUCCGCAUCCAAUGGAAGAAACUCAUUGUUCGGGCUGUCAUAAUUUAUCUUAAGCUGAAGCUAGAAGCAGGGUAGAAACAGCAUAUAUUCUACAAGAAUUUACCACUGCAUGCCGUCGGGUGGCUACACCCGACAGACUACUGUCUUGAAGAGAGAUGGUGUUUUAUUCUAGAAUAUAUUUGUCAGCAGUACUACUCCUUCUGUUUAUAUCCUUGGAAACAAACAAGCGAAGACACCAAAGACAACAGAGGAGAAAUUACUUCUACUUACUAAUUGAAUUAAAGCAAUGACAAAUUAAUGGCAAUGAAAGUGGUUGAGAAAACUUGCCAUAGGCGUGCGAUGCUGUAACCAAUGGAGCUACCGCGGCACCGUUUUCCCAUCCACUUUCUUGUGUAUUUAUAUUUUACUACUAGAACUAACUACUACUACUACUUCUACAGCUACAUCAUUUCGCACCUGCGGCAAGUUGUUUUUUCAUCCACUUUCUUUGCCAUUAAUUUAUUAUUUCUUUAAUUCAAUUAGUAAGUACAAGUAAUUUCACUUAUGUUGUCUUUGGUGACUUUGCUUGUUGGCUUCUCAUGAUAUGAUUAUUAAAAAUCGCGCCCCUCAGUCAACCCCC